rnacentral:rRNA from 1 species
GACAGAGGGUGCAAACGUUGUUCGGAAUUACUGGGCGUAAAGCGCGUGUAGGCGGCAAUACAAGUCGGAUGUGAAAUCCCACGGCUCAACCGUGGAACUGCUGGGUAUACUGGAUGUCUUGAGCCAGCUAGGGGCUACCGGAACAAAUGGUGGAGCGGUGAAAUGCGUAGAUAUCAUUUGGAACGCCAAUGGUGAAAACAGGUAGCUGGGGCUGUGCUGACGCUGAGACACGAAAGCCAGGGGAGCGAACGGG